UCAACUAGGACCCAUAUACACACUAUCUGAGUAUAUCGCUUAAAUUAAUAGACUAGUUUCCACUUAAAUUAAAUACCAAUAUUGGAGUAGUAUUUUCUUUGAGUUGCAUAUAAAGAACUCGUAGAACCAAAACUUAAAUAUGUGGAAAGUCUCAGUGAGAGGAAAGUUAGCAGCUGCGUUAUAUUUAUUUCUUCAUCAAUCUGUUAUUCCCUGGUGCCUCUUGCAAGGCUAUUUGACAGAUACAAACCAUAAUCACUAGAGAAAAUUGAGGGUCACUCUCUGUUGUCCACAAUUUGUGUGGGGUGGUGACAUCUCAUUCACUGUUCCGUUUUUCUUGAUCCUAGCCAUCUGUAUGGACAUGUAUGCGUACAAAUUAGUUAGUUAGAGAAAACAUGAAAGAGGUCUAAUUUGUGAGAGCAGAUUUUGUGAGGUAAGAUUUACGGAGUCCUCCAAAAGUUUGUUUUGCUCUCGCAGCAGUUUUUCCUGCAAAAAAGGGUUGUCAUGUACAGUCUAAUGGAAAAUUUAACAUGAUCUUAAUUCAUCCUAAAACUAUUAAAGGUAUCUGAUGAGAACUGUUGAUUA